rnacentral:rRNA from 1 species
AUUGAACGCUGGCGGAAUGCUUUACACAUGCAAGUCGAACGGCAGCACGGACUUCGGUCUGGUGGCGAGUGGCGAACGGGUGAGUAAUGUAUCGGGACGUGCCCAGUCGUGGGGGAUAACGUAGUGAAAAUUACGCUAAUACCGCAUACGAUCUAUGGAUGAAAGCGGGGGAUCGCAAGACCUCGCGCGAUUGGAGCGGCCGAUAUCAGAUUAGGUAGUUGGUGGGGUAAAGGCCCACCAAGCCGACGAUCUGUAGCUGGUCUGAGAGGACGACCAGCCACACUGGAACUGAGACACGGUCCAGACUCCUACGGGAGGCUGCAGUGGGGAAUUUUGGACAAUGGGCGAAAGCCUGAUCCAGCCAUUCCGCGUGCAGGAUGAAGGCCCUCGGGUUGUAAACUGCUUUUGUACAGAACGAAAAGGUUUCUACUAAUACUAGGAGCUCAUGACGGUACUGUAAGAAUAAGCACCGGCUAACUACGUGCCAGCAGCCGCCGCGG